rnacentral:rRNA from 1 species
UACGUAGGGUGCAAGCGUUGUCCGGAAUUAUUGGGCGUAAAGAGCUCGUAGGCGGCUUGGCAAGUCGGGUGUGAAACCUCCAGGCUCAACCUGGAGACGCCACCCGAUACUGCUAUGGCUAGAGUCCGGUAGGGGACCACGGAAUUCCUGGUGUAGCGGUGAAAUGCGCAGAUAUCAGGAGGAACACCGGUGGCGAAGGCGGUGGUCUGGGCCGGCACUGACGCUGAGGAGCGAAAGCGUGGGGAGCGAACAGG